UUUUUACUCUUCCCCACUCUCAGCCUAGCCAGUCUGCUCACUAUAUUCUCUCCAUCCUUCAGCACCCUUCCGUCUCUUCCUUCAUCUUAAAAACCUUUCCUUUAAUUUCAACAGUGCUGCCUGGGUUUGUCAUUUCAGGGGUUGGGCAUGUUCCAGGAUCUGUUUAUAGACUUCUCUCAGGAGGAAUGGGAGUGCCUGGACACUGCUCAGAAGGACUUAUACAGAAAUGUAAUGAUGGAGAACUAUAGCAGCCUGGUCUCACUAGGUAAGGAUGUCUAUCCCCAAAUAACUCAUGAAUCUUGGGUGUCUCUCUAUCACAAAGCCUGAUGUGAUUUCCUUACUGGAGCAAGGGAAAGAGCCCUGGAUGGUUUCAAGGGACGUACCGGGAGGGUGGUGCCCAG
rnacentral:lncRNA from 1 species